UACAGAGGGGGGCCAGCGUUAUUCGGAAUUAUUGGGCGUAAAGCGCGCGCAGGCGGUCCUUUUAAGUCUGAUGUGAAAAGCCCACGGCUCAACCGUGGAGGGUCAUUGGAAACUGGGGGGACUUGAGUACAGAAGAGAAGAGUGGAAUUCCACGUGUAGCGGUGAAAUGCGUAGAGAUGUGGAGGAACACCAGUGGCGAAGGCGACUCUUUGGUCUGUAACUGACGCUGAGGCGCGAAAAGCGUGGGGGAGCAAACAGG
rnacentral:rRNA from 1 species